AUUGAACGCUGGCGGCAGGCCUAACACAUGCAAGUCGAACGGUAACAGGGAUCAGCUUGCUGAUUCGCUGACGAGUGGCGGACGGGUGAGUAAUGUCUGGGAAACUGCCUGAUGGAGGGGGAUAACUACUGGAAACGGUAGCUAAUACCGCAUAACGUCGCAAGACCAAAGAGGGGGACCUUCGUGCCUCUUGCCAUCGGAUGUGCCCAGAUGGGAUUAGCUAGUAGGUGGGGUAACGGCUCACCUAGGCGACGAUCCCUAGCUGGUCUGAGAGGAUGACCAGACACACUGGAACUGAGACACGGCCGAGACUCCUACGGGAGGCAGCAGUGGGGAAUAUUGCACAAUGGGCGAAAGCCUGAUGCAGCCAUGCCGCGUGUAUGAAGAAGGACUUCGGGUUGUAGAGUACUUUCAGCGGGGAGGAAGGGAGUAAAGUUAAUACCUUAGCUCAUUGACGUUACCCGCAGAAGAAGCACCGGCUAACUCCGUG
rnacentral:rRNA from 1 species